rnacentral:snoRNA from 14 species
CUGCUGUGAUGAUAUCCACACGGUUUCGCGUCUGGCUGAGUUUCAGAGAUGACACCUUUCUCUUGGCUGUCUGAGCAU